UGGGGAUGAGGGCAGGGAUGCAGGAAGGGAUGUGAGCAGGGAUGGAGAAAGAGAUGUAGACAUAGGGGAUGCAGGGAUGUGGGCAGGGGUGCAGGUGUGGAUCAGGGCUGAGCCACACCCCUGAAUCCCACAGCACAGGGUGAGAAAAGCCCCAUCAGAACCCCCCAAACCUCCUCCUGGAGAAAGGCUUGGCCCCAGGGCUUUCCUGGCAAUAAUUAAUUGAGUCAUAUUUCAAUCCAGCCAGCGGCCAUAUGGUA
rnacentral:lncRNA from 1 species